AAGAAUGAUAUUUUGGAGCAGGAACAAAGGAUACCUUGUGCUGCAUCAAGGAACGGAAGACACUACUGAAACGGAGCGUGAUAAGUGAAAUAACUUUCCUGUUCCCUUCUUUGUAAAGCACGCCGAGAAUUCCAUUCAUUUGUCCACAGUGUGUCAGGCAAGUAGUCUCUUGCCGGUUGGCACAGUAGAAGCAAGAAGAAACGUGAGUGGUUGCUAAGGAGCUAAGAAGUGUUGUUGCUACUCUUGUGAGGUGCUCUAAUACAGGAUGCUUUGAAUACCUAUGAGAACUAUUUAGGAUAUAUAACCAUUUAACCUGUCUGAGCUGUUUCUGACAGAAUAAACUUGAGGUUUAAACGUCAUUUAGAGUUGGCGCUCUGGUUUUCUCUGGCCAGCAUUCCGCUACAGUUUGCACGUCUGUCUGUACUGCGCCCCGACCUUGGUUGUGAUGUGACUGCCAUCCAUCGUGGUUUGAUGGCGCGGUGACGUACUUGCUCGCUGGCUGCGCAGAGUCCAGUGUCAGGGGCCGGGGACGGCCCGGAGGUGGCGCCAACGGAGGGCAGAGGGCUGCCUGGGCCAGCUCUAUCUUCGUCUGGUAGCGGCAGUGCGAUGGCCGAAUCCUCCACACUCCUCCGCGACCAUGGCGACUAUGAGGAGCUGGCCCUAAUUGGCAACGGGGCCUAUGUAACAGUGUACAAAGCACGGGACUUGGCCAAUAACGGACACAUAGUUGCCCUGAAGAAAGUGCGUGUUCCCCUGACGGAUGAUGGUGUCCCCAUGUCGACUCUUCGAGAGAUUGCGCUUCUGAAGCAACUAGAUCAGUAUGAACACCCGCACAUAGUGAGGUGAGUACCUUCCGUUCCUGGUUAUAGCCAUAAAUGUCACAGAGACGACACACACCCACCUUUCAUACAGCACGGUAAGUGAU